CAUAACCAAAACCAAGACCCAUCACCAACACCAUGAAACAAAAUGGGGGAAAAUAAGGGUGAUGUCAUGGACUCAGGAAAAUCUAAUUACCGACCCUGUGUCUUCUGUGCCUACUUGUAUAAGUUCAAAAAUAGAAGCCACUAUCCAGGCAGCAAAACCCACAUGACAGCCCAAGUGCACCUUAGUAAUGCACACUCCUCCUCAGGGUCUGAGAAAACAGCAAUACCAAAACUAAGGCAUUUCUAAAGUCCUAUACUGAAUCCUAAGGAAGAAAUCACAUGGGAAAAAUUGUCAUACCUGGAACAUACUGCAUUUUGAAAAAAAAGUACUAAAGGUUAAGAAAAUGUCAC